rnacentral:rRNA from 1 species
GACGAACGCUGGCGGCGUGCUUAACACAUGCAAGUCGAACGGAAAGGCCCUGCUUUUGUGGGGUGCUCAAGUGGCGAACGGGUGAGUAACACGUGAGUAACCUGCCCUUGACUUUGGGAUAACUUCAGGAAACUGGGGCUAAUACCGGAUAGGAGCUCCUGCUGCAAGGUGGGGGUUGGAAAGUUUCGGCGGUUGGGGAUGGACUCGCGGCUUAUCAGCUUGUUGGUGGGGUAGUGGCUUACCAAGGCUUUGACGGGUAGCCGGCCUGAGAGGGUGACCGGCCACAUUGGGACUGAGAUACGGCCCAGACUCCUACGGGAGGCAGCAGUGGGGAAUAUUGCACAAUGGGCGGAAGCCUGAUGCAGCAACGCCGCGUGCGGGAUGACGGCCUUCGGGUUGUAAACCGCUUUCGCCUGUGACGAAGCGUGAGUGACGGUAAUGGGUAAAGAAGCACCGGCUAACUACGUG